rnacentral:rRNA from 1 species
AGCGAACGCUGGCGGCAGGCCUAACACAUGCAAGUCGAACGAAGUCUUCGGACUUAGUGGCGGACGGGUGAGUAACACGUGGGAACGUGCCUUUAGGUUCGGAAUAACUCAGGGAAACUUGUGCUAAUACCGAAUGUGCCCUUCGGGGGAAAGAUUUAUCGCCUUUAGAGCGGCCCGCGUCUGAUUUGCUAGUUGGUGAGGUAAAGGCUCACCAAGGCGACGAUCAGUAGCUGGUCUGAGAGGAUGAUCAGCCACAUUGGGACUGAGACACGGCCCAAACUCCUACGGGAGGCAGCAGUGGGGAAUCUUGCGCAAUGGGCGAAAGCUUGACGCAGCCAUGCCGCGUGAAUGAUGAAGGUCUUAGGGUUGUAAAAUUCUUUCACCGGGGACGAUAAUGACGGUACCCGGAGAAGAAGCCCCGGCUAACUUCGUGCCAGCCGCCGCCGUAACAC